UACGGGGGGGGUAAGCGUUGUUCGGAAUUACUGGGCGUAAAGGGCUCGUAGGCGGCCAACUAAGUCGGACGUGAAAUCCCUCAGCUUAACUGGGGAACUGCGUCCGAUACUGGAUGGCUUGGAUUUGGGAGAGGGAUGCGGAAUUCCAGGUGUAGCGGUGAAAUGCGUAGAUAUCUGGAGGAACACCAGUAGCGAAGGCGGCUCGCUGGGCCGUUCCUGACGCUGAGGAGCGAAAGCGUGGGGAGCGAACAGG
rnacentral:rRNA from 1 species